GAACGACACAGCAGCAGGGGCCACGUGCAUCAGGAAUAAGAACCCCUUUCCCACCCAGGUGUGUUCUCGCUAUUGUUCCAUCUGCAACUGAGCACCUUUUCUGCAGAAAGUAAAGACAGCCUUGCUAAGAGAUCAUUUGUCUCCAAGCUGACUUUUCUUUGCAGCACCGAUUAUCUAUUUCUAACAAUUUUGGGGGCUCGUCCAGGAUUACAGUCUCCUCUAGGGUGGGUCUCCAGUCCUCUCUUGUGAGAAGGCAUGCCCCACUACCUCGUUUUUGGCAGCCUCAGGGGUGAGGAACCGAGAUCCACCCAGUGUGAUGAAUAAACUGGGACUCUCAGCAACGUGGAAAGAAACUGGCUAGCAACGUAGGGUAAAGGAUCCUCACAUACUGCGGUAAUGACUCUGCACAGACCAAGGAAGGAGAAACCAUGGGAGCUGGCUUCCCGAUUAUUCUACCAACUCUACCAAAUCCUUGUUCUUCGUUGCACAAUUAGCUGUGAAACAGACAGAGGUUACCUACAAUAAGUGCAUGUCAUUUUGGACUAGCCAUAUUUCAAGGGCUCAGUAUGGCUAAUGGCCACUAUAUUGGACAUCGACGGUCAAACCCAUUUUACAUUCCCCUGACAACUAUGAUUGGUGUGAGGCCUAUGAUGGCCCAACUAGGCUGACAGCAAAGAUCUUUCCUGUUGGCAAAGAUCAUCUUUCUCUCUCCUGCUGGCAAGAACAAGAAAGAAUAAAGGUCUGAUCAACCCAUGAGCUUUCUUGGGAUUUAUGAGGAGAACCAGACUUUGGAUGAAACUGACAUUGAAAUGAGCAGGAUGGAGAGAAAAAUCCUAGGGGUUUGGUGACAAUACUGGGCUGCUGAUUAAACUUGGAGUUUGCCCUGACUCUGAACUUUCUAUUUAGUGAGAUAAUAAUUGUCUCAAUUGUUUAAGCUAGCUUGUGUUGCUUCCAGCUAAAAGAGUGCCAGCUAUAUACAAUGUGCAAGCUGACAUGUUGUCAUGCUCUGACACUGAUGAACACACCCCCACAAGGCUGUGAAGUAGUAGGGGAAGAACUAACCUGCAUGGAGUUGGAAGGGGGGGAAAAACAAAAUCAAACCAUAUGGAAAGCAGUUGAAUUCACUGCAUUAAAUAUACUUUUUAAAAUGUACAACAUAAUAGCCAUAUGUUUAAGUCAGAAUCAUCUGCAAAGCACGCAUGUUCACUUUCUGUUCCAGAGUCAGGCGUCUGAAUUCUGUGAGCAAAGCCUAGAGAAAAAAAACUAAGCCUAUGCCAGAUUUACAGGAAUAGUUAUCUUUAUAAAGACUAUAUGAACUGUAAUACAAAGUUACAAAGCUGAAGGCAAAGCUUUUCAAUAAAGCAAGUGGCUCUCAAAGAGAUACCUUCAAGAGUGUGGUUCUAUGUUUCCCACCUAGUGCUAAGUAAAACAUACAUUUCAAUUAGAAUUAGAAUGUACUUCAGGAAGUAAAUUAUUAAAUGACCUAGCACAUUUUGAUGUUUUUAAAAGCCCAAACUCCCAGCUGUGGAGAACAAUGAGUCUUUAAUGAUAAUUUAUUCCCCUCUUGUUCCCAUGAUUGCUAGAUAGCUGGGGGCCCUAGAUACUUAUUGGGCUCCAGGGACCCAAUGUGGGCAUUGUCAGAGGAGGAUACCAAUUAGCAGGUUUGGUUUCACAAAGAAGCAAAGAUUGCCCUGAGGUGAAAAACUCUGUCUCAGAGAAAACACCCUUGAACUUGAAUUGUCUUUUUUGCUCAUCAUUAGAAGUCAGCAAAGGAUUUAGCCUCUCCCUCACCAAUUCAUUAUCCACACUCUUCAGAAAAAAAAAAAUAAUAAUAAAAUAAAAUAUUUUCUCUUAUUAUGAAGGUGACAAUAAAGACAGUAAGCUUACCACAUGCAGAAAAGAGAGUGACCACUUUCUACUAGUUUUAAUGGCACUAUCACUGCUUCCAAAAAUUGCUUUAGGUCACUUACGGCCCCUGGAGAUAAACAUCUGAGGAUUCUGCAUAAGGUCCUUAAUGGGUGUUUUCAGGACAGCAUAAUUACCUGAGGCUUGUAAGAGUGAAAAGCAUCAGCCUCAAGGUUACUGAAUAAUGUAUGGUUGCCUGUUUGUCUAUUAGAGAGAGAUAAAGAAGAACAAAAAUCCAGUCACCAUAUGAAUCACAAUUUUAUUAUCUUUUUCAUUCAUUUAGUAUUUCAUUCAACACAUUUGAAAGCAUUUAUUAUGCACCAGGCACUGUACUAAACACUUUAGAUUCUAGUAUGAUUAAGACAGCAGAGUUCUACCCAUUGAGAUGUUCACAAUCUAGGUGGGGAAGGACAUGGAGAAUGAAGAAUAAGCAGACCAUUAAUUCCCAGAAAGGAGUAGGGUUACCUCUGGGCCCCUGCGGAGGUCAAUGAAGCUUUGUCUAUGGCCUUUAAGAGCUUUUCAUUU
rnacentral:lncRNA from 10 species